UAUUCAUGUAGAGCAGUGGUACCCAACAAUUGCCCAACUCGGGGAACUAAACCACCUCAGAAAGCUGAAGAGAAGAGCUACCGACAUCGCGAUGAGAGUCCCUCGACCUCGUAUCACAGGAAGACCUCCAGCAGCAAAACCUCCCGGGAGAAAUUGAGAGGAAAAGUGUCCGUUACGAAGAAGCGGCAGGUACCCAAAAUUAUUCUCACGCCGCCCUCAACCGAAGAUUUGGUGUUCAGUGAUGACCAAAUGCAGUAAUAUUGGCCUUGUCAUCGAAAUCAUGGGAUGUACAGAGGAACGGAACUACUCCUGAGUAACUGAUCAGAAACUGCUUCAGCGUAGCCCAGCCUGCCUCUUCUUUGAACAACGUCAAGUCAUCAUCACUUCUAUUUUUUAGAAGUCGAUAUAGAUUAUCUUUUAUAACUGGCGUUCUUGCACGGCGCUUACCUAAGCCCUGUUGGAGACUGGGGGGAAAAAAUUGUAAAUAAAGCUAAUUAAACAUCUGUAUAAAUUG